UAGUGGCGCACGGGUGAGUAACACGUAGGUGACCUGCCCCGAAGAGGGGGAUAACUACUGGAAACGGUAGCUAAUACCCCAUAUGAUCGGUGAUUCGUUUUGCCGAUUAAAGCUCCGGCGCUUUGGGAGGGGCCUGCGGCCGAUUAGCUAGUUGGUGGGGUAAUGGCUCACCAAGGCGAUAAUCGGUAGCUGGUCUGAGAGGACGAUCAGCCACACUGGCACUGACACACGGGCCAGACUCCUACGGGAGGCAGCAGUGAGGAAUAUUGCGCAAUGGGCGAAAGCCUGACGCAGCAACGCCGCGUGGGCGACGAAGGCCUUCGGGUUGUAAAGCCCUUUUCUGGGGGAAGAGGAAGGACGGUACCUCAGGAAUAAGUCUCGGCUAACUACGUGCCAGCAGCCGCGGUAAAACGUAGGAGGCAAGCGUUAUCCGGAUUUACUGGGCGUAAAGCGCGCGCAGGCGGUUCCGUAAGUUGGACGUGAAAUCUCCCGGCUCAACCGGGAGGGGUCGCCCAAUACUGCGGGACUUGAGGUCGGGAGAGGAAAGUGGAAUUCCCGGU
rnacentral:rRNA from 1 species